rnacentral:rRNA from 1 species
AAAACAAUCCUACGGGAGGCAGCAGUCGAGAAUUUUUCACAAUGGGGGAAACCCUGAUGGAGCGACGCCGCGUGGAGGACGAAGGCCUUCGGGUCGUAAACUCCUGUCAUGCGGGAACAAGAAAGUGAUAGUACCGCAAGAGGAAGAGACGGCUAACUCUGUGCCAGCAGCCGCGGUAAUACAGAGGUCUCAAGCGUUGUUCGGAUUCAUUGGGCGUAAAGGGUGCGUAGGUGGCGAUGCAAGUCUGGUGUGAAAUCUUGGGGCUCAACCUCAAAAUUGCACCGGAUACUGCGUUGCUCGAGGAUUGUAGAGGAGAGUGGAAUUCACGGUGUAGCAGUGA